CUCCAAGCGAAUUAGCACAAAAAAUGGGGUUCCAUAAACUCUCUUCUGAACUGGAUCCCUCGGACAACAGAUCAUCUAAUUGCUCACAACUCCCUCCGAGAUGUAAACAAAGAAACUCAAGUGAACAGACAUCCAGCGAGGAUUGGGAAGUAAUAAUGCGAACAG